rnacentral:lncRNA from 1 species
AAGACUAUAAUCAGAUGAAAUAUGCAGCCUGACAGCCACUCAAAUAUGCAAGCCACACCAUAUAAAAAUUGUAACAUACCCAUUAGGCAGCCCGCAGUCAAACAUGUAUGGAAUAAACUUAAGAAUUUGGGGAGCCACUCAAUGACUCAAAUAUGAAGCAAUAUAUGGAAUAAACUUCAGAGCUAAGAAUUUGGGCAGCUACUCAAUGACUCAAAUAUGCAUCCAGAAGCCACUCAAAUAUGCAGCCACUAGAUUGUAAACUUAAGAUGUUCAAGCAAAAUAAAAACAAAUAACUGAAACUGCAAAGAAAAGUGAAAAAAGACCAACCUUUUCUAGGGUUAUUGCAGCGGCGAAAGGAGCGGAGGGAGGAGGAUGGAGCAGGCCAGAAGUGGCCCGAGAGUCGUCGCUAGAGUCGCCGCACCAAUAGACCAAAUUCUUUGCCGAGAUUUUUUUAUUUUUU